ACUGUAAUCUAGCUGUGCUUUAGGCAGUCAUCAUGCAGCUUGGACCAGUUGUUUGCGUUCUUCUGAUCUUCAUCAUUGCAAAUAUAAUAGGACAAUUCCCCAUACCCUGAGAAGUCCAACUGAGAAAACAGAGGAAUGGGACCUGGUAUCUCUGAUCCCAGUGAGAUGCUGUACUGAAGACCACAAGAUGUUUAUUUCCUACCGUAUUCCAACAGCACAAAAUCACCUUCCUGUAUUGGUUUUCCUAUCUGAUACUCAAUGGCAUUGACCCAGAGUAACAACCAGCGUGGUGUCCUGAGCUUGCUGUUGGUCUCAUCAUCAUGCCUCGUAAGAAAUCUGAUUCUGUCUUCAAGAAUAUGGACCUGUUUCAAAGUUCAAUUUAAGGGCCAAGGAUCUAUCUCAGCUGCACAAGCACCUGCCUGGCAAGCACAAGGUCCUGAGUUCGACUCCUGGUACAAAAGCAACAAAAACAAAAUACAAAAAAAUAAAGUUCAAUUUAAUCACUGAGUCUGCAACUUCCAAUUUUGAACUUCUAGUCUGAACAUCGGAAUUUCAAUUUUCAAGGCAUCUAAUUAGAUGAAAAACGCCUACUUCCUAAUGGAGGAUGGUACAGUACUUCACCAAUAUGGUCUUCACCAAUGGAUUUCGUUUUGUUUCUAGCUCCUAAUUUACUUGAUUUGCUCUUUAGCUCUGCUGUGAUUUGUACCU
rnacentral:lncRNA from 1 species